GAGCGAACAGGGAAGAGGCCAGCACCGAAUCCCGCGGUCGACCGGCCGUAGGGAAAUGUGGUGUUAGGGAGCGUCCGUUACCCGCGCGGCGCGGGCGGUUCAAAGUCCUCUUGAAAGGGGCCACGGCCCGCAGAGGGUGCCAGGCCCGUAGGAACCGUCGCGCCGGCGGGGGGGCGUCUCCUCAGAGUCGGGUUGCUUGAGAUCGCAGCCCAAAGCAGGUGGUAAACUCCAUCUAAGGCUAAAUAUUCCCACGAGACCGAUAGCGAACAAGUACCGUGAGGAAAGUUGAAAAGAACUUGGAGAGAGAGUUCAAGAGUACGUGAAACCGCUCGGGGGAAAACGAAUGGUGUCCGAGCAAACGAGACCGGGGAAACUCAUCGCUCCACCGCGCCCGCUGCGGCGGCCUCGGGCGCCGCGGCGCCGCGUCGUCCUCUUUCCCUCGCGGGGGAGGGCGCCGCGUCGCUCGSGGACUCGCGCCCGGGCGUCCGUCGUUUGGCGACGGCGCGGGUUAACGGGGCGUGCACUUUUCCUUCGUCAUAGUGCGUCGCGAUCCGUUGGACGGCGGCCCUAGGGCCCGGUGCGAUCUUCCUCUCGGCGCUCGGUCGUCUCCCUCUCGGGGGCGGCGUCCGCGCCGGCGGGGUGCGUCCGGUGUGCGCGCUCGGCGCGGGGGGCAGCUUAAUAAGCGCUCCGUGAUUCCGUCGCGGCGCUUCCCGGCCGCCGUGUAAGUCCCGCCCCGUAGCGGGGCGGGCGGUAACGACGGUCAUGAAAUACGCGGAAAGACAUCCCGACCAGACACUUCGUCGGCGGGUCUCCCCCGCACGGCCUGCGGGCGUUUUCAAAUUCGCAGCCGCGGCGGUCGAGGCGCGACGGGGACGUCUCUGCGUCGUCCGGCCCUCGCGGGUUCGGGCGGCGCGGGCGCCCCGCGCGCGCCUCCCGCCGAAUGACGGCGGCGAAGGUGACGGGGGAGGACGGGUAGAGCCUCGAGCUCCCUGGCGAUGAAUCGGCGGCGUAAGUCUCGGAUUACCCUUCGACCCGUCUUGAAACACGGACCAAGGAGUCUAACAUGUGCGCGAGUCAAUGGGACUCCCGAAUCCCAAAGGCGAAGCGAAAGCGAACGCUGCGGCCGGUAGACCACCGAGUCCGCGCGCGGAGGGAGGAUGGCUCGGGGGGGGCGCGUCGGCGUUCGCGCCGGCGCCCCUUAGACACCCCGGCCCGCACUCCCGGGGCGUCGAGGCCGAACUGAGAGUACGAGACGCACCCAGAGCGCACACGUUGGUACCCGAAAGAUGGUGAACUAUGCUUGGCCAGGACGAAGCCAGGGGAAACCCUGGUGGAGGUCCGUAGCGAUUCUGACGUGCAAAUCGAUCGUCUGAGCUGUGUAUAGGGGCGAAAGACUAAUCGAACUAUCUAGUAGCUGGUUCCCUCCGAAGUUUCCCUCAGGAUAGCUGGCGCUCGGAGAAAGAAAGAAAAGAACCGUUCGGAUUCUCGUGCGGUAAAGCGAAUGAUUAGAGGCCUUAGGGUCGAAACGACCUUAACCUAUUCUCAAACUUUAAAUGGGCGAGACCCCCGGCAUGCUCGAAACAAACGGCGCUUCGCGCGUCCCUGAUGCCGGGGCCCAAGGAUCGAGAGCGCCCAGUGGGCCACUUUUGGUAAGCAGAACUGGCGCUGUGGGAUGAACCAAACGCAGAGUUAAAGCGCCUAAAUCGACGCUUAUGGGAAACCAUGAAGGGCGUUGUUUGCUUAAGACAGUAGGGCCGUGGCCAUGGAAGUUGGAAUCAGCUAAGGAGUGUGUAACAACUCACCUACCGAAGCAACUAGCCCUGAAAAUGGAUGGCGCUGAAGCGUCGUGCUUAUACUCUGCCGCCGGCGGCAAGGAAGAGGGCGCCCCGCACGUCCCGCGUCGGGUGGACCAGAGCAGUCCAGGAGCCCUGUUAAGCCCCGGUGAGUAGGAGGGUCGCGGCGGUGAGCGCAGAAGGGUAGGGCGCGAGCCUGCCUGGAGCCGCCGUCGGUGCAGAUCUUGGUAGUAGUAGCAAAUACUCUAGCGAGGCCCUGGAGGGCUGAGGCGGAGAAGGGUUUCGUGUGAACAGCCGUUGCACACGAGUCAGUCGAUCCUAAGCCCUAGGAGAGAUCCGAUGCAGAUGGAGCCGCAGAAAAAAGAGAGAGAGAGCCUAUAUGGCGGCCCGUCGGGCGAAAGGGAAUCCGGUUCCUAUUCCGGAACCCGGUCGCGGAACCGUCUCACGCGGGCCCCCCGCCUCGCGGCGGGAAGCUCGAUGUGGUAACACAAACUGUCCCGGAGAAGCCGUCGGGAGGUCGGGGAAGAGUUUUCUUUUCUGUUUGAGCGUUCGGGUUCCCUGGAAUUGCCUAGAGCAGAGAUAGGGAAUGGA
rnacentral:rRNA from 1 species